rnacentral:rRNA from 1 species
AUGACAGAGCUGGGGCAGCAACAGUCUGGAUUGUCCAACAACUGGACCAAGCAAUCAAUCACUCAAGAUUUGAAGCUGUCUACAGGAGCCGUUGGUCCGGUGGCGUUUGAACGAGAAAGGGCUGUAUAUGCUGAGGGAGGGAGGGAGAGAUCUCUCUGGAUCACUCUCCAGCUUGCUGCUACUGUGUGCAAUGGUAACAUACUGUGUGGGAGGCUCCGUGAUUGCGAUGGGUGCUGGCCUGCUGGCCAAGUGGUCUCCGGUGCAACCCCCGGGCCACGACCAGUUUGGUUGGGUCGCCAUGGAUGGAUGUGA